AAAAGAGUUUCGCCACGACUGCGAAAUGACAAUUAUCAAAUCGUCAUAAAAUCCGACAAAGUACCAUUAGGUGAACAUGCUGGUAGAUUCAACGCUCCAACUGUUGAUGAGGUUGCUGUUAUCAUGGUUGGUGAUCCAGUUGACAAAAGAUCUAUAAAAAUUACACGGCGAGACAACACUGUUAGUACGAUUUCGGAUUUACACCGUUCAUAUGACGCACUACAAUAUCCAUUGAUAUUUUGGCAAGGACAAGAUGAAUAUCACCUUAAUAUAAAACAGUAUGAUCCAAAUACCGGUGAUUACAGAAAUAAGAAAGUUAGCUCAAUGAACUACUACGCACACCGAAUAAUGGUUAGACAACGUCAAGACAAUUAUAUCCUUCAAUAUCGUCAGCUGUUCCAUCAAUACAUUGUUGAUAUGUAUGCUAAGGUCGAAAGCGAACGCUUGCGAUUCCUUCGAUUCAGCCA